CGAGCGGUAAGGCCCUUCGGGGUACACGAGCGGCGAACGGGUGAGUAACACGUGGGUGAUCUGCCUUGCACUCUGGGAUAAGCCUGGGAAACUGGGUCUAAUACCGGAUAUGACCUUCCAGUGCAUGCUGGUUGGUGGAAAGAUUUAUCGGUGCGAGAUGGGCCCGCGGCCUAUCAGCUUGUUGGUGAGGUAACGGCUCACCAAGGCGACGACGGGUAGCCGACCUGAGAGGGUGACCGGCCACACUGGGACUGAGACACGGCCCAGACUCCUACGGGAGGCAGCAGUGGGGAAUAUUGCACAAUGGGCGAAAGCCUGAUGCAGCGACGCCGCGUGCGGGAUGACGGCCUUCGGGUUGUAAACCGCUUUUGACAGGGACGAAGCGUGAGUGACUGUACCUGUAGAAUAAGGACCGGCCAACUACGUGC
rnacentral:rRNA from 1 species